UACGAAGGGGGCUAGCGUUGCUCGGAAUUACUGGGCGUAAAGCGCACGUAGGCGGAUCUUUAAGUCAGGGGUGAAAUCCUGGAGCUCAACUCCAGAACUGCCUUUGAUACUGAGGACCUUGAGUUCGGGAGAGGUGAGUGGAACUGCGAGUGUAGAGGUGAAAAUUCGUAGAUAUUCGCAAAGAACACCAGUGGCGAAGGCGGCUCACUGGCCCGAUAUGACGCUGAGGUGCGAAACGUGGGGGACAACAGGGAUAA
rnacentral:rRNA from 1 species